UACGUAGGGGGCAAGCGUUGUCCGGAAUUAUUGGGCGUAAAGCGCGCGCAGGCGGCUAUUUAAGUUUGGUGUAUAAUCCCGGGGCUCAACCCCGGGCCGCACCGAAAACUGGGUGGCUUGAGUGCGGGAGAGGAAAGUGGAAUUCUACGUGUAGCGGUGAAAUGCGUAGAGAUGUGGAGGAACACCAGUGGCGAAGGCGACUUUCUGGACCGUAACUGACGCUGAGGCGCGAAAGCGUGGGGAGCAAACAGGAUUAGAUACCCGAGUAGU
rnacentral:rRNA from 1 species